CGGAGUGUGGCGCAGUCUGGUAGCGCAUCUGCUUUGGGAGCAGAGGGUCGUUGGUUCGAAUCCAGCCACUCCGACCA
rnacentral:tRNA from 2 species